CCUACGGGUGGCAGCAGUAGGGAAUCUUGCUCAAUGGGCGCAACCCUGAAGCAGCAAAGCCGCGUGGAGGAUGACGGCUCUCGGAUUUUUAACUCCUUUUGUUAGAGAAGAUACUGACGUUAUCUAACGCAUCAGCACCAGCGAACUCCGUGCCAGCAGCCGCCGUCAUACGGCGGGCGCCAGCGUUACUCCGAAUUAUUGGGGGUAAAUCGCGCGUAGGCGGGUUAGCAAGUCACGUGGGAAAUCCUAGGGCUUAACCAUAGAACUGCAGUUGAAACUGGUGUUCUAGAGUAGGAGAGAGGUAGGUGGAAUGCUUGGUGUAGCGGUGAAAUGCGUAGAGAUCAAGAGGAAUACUGAUUGCGAAGGCGACCUGCUGGAACAUGACUGACGCUGAAGCGCGAAAGCGUGGGGAGCAAACAGGAUUAGAUACCCUAGUAGUC
rnacentral:rRNA from 1 species